AUGCCUCCAACCUAUCAUUUAAUAAAAUUGUCACCCACCAUCUCUCCUCCGACAGAGCUUCCAUCUCUCUCAUCGUUUCCUUCCUCCAAUUUUUCCAUCUUCAGACGCCUCCAUCCUUCCCUCCAUCAUUUCAAAUCUUGUUUGCAGAAAAUAUGCUUUCCCCUCUUUCUCCCCUUCAUUAUGGUGAUUUCCUCCCUCCCUUAUCAUACCAAGAAACUCAACAAUGUACUCUUACGUACAGCCAAAACGUCGUUGUUCAAGCUCAUAACAAAGCUUGAAAUUACACCAACGUCCUUCAACUCAACCUGGU